AACGAACGCUGGCGGCAUGCCUAACACAUGCAAGUCGAACGAUUGCCUUCGGGUGAUAGUGGCGCACGGGUGCGUAACGCGUGGGAAUCUGCCCUUAGGUUCGGAAUAACAGCUGGAAACGGCUGCUAUUACCGGAUGUUAUCCCGGGUCAAAGAUUUAUCGCCUGAGGAUGAGCCCGCGUUGGAUUAGGUAGUUGGUGGGGUAAAGGCCUACCAAGCCGACGAUCCAUAGCUGGUCUGAGAGGAUGAUCAGCCACACUGGGACUGAGACACGGCCCAGACUCCUACGGGAGGCAGCAGUGGGGAAUAUUGGACAAUGGGCGCAAGCCUGAUCCAGCAAUGCCGCGUGAGUGAUGAAGGCCCUAGGGUUGUAAAGCUCUUUUACCCGGGAAGAUAAUGACUGUACCGGGAGAAUAAGCCCCGGCUAACUCCGUG
rnacentral:rRNA from 1 species